GUAGGGAAUCUUCCACAAUGGACGAAAGUCUGAUGGAGCAACGCCGCGUGAGUGAAGAAGGUCUUCGGAUCGUAAAACUCUGUUGUUAGAGAAGAACGUGCAUGAUAGUAACUGAUCAUGUAAUGACGGUAUCUAACCAGAAAGCCACGGCUAACUACGUGCCAGCAGCCGCGGUAAUACGUAGGUGGCAAGCGUUUUCCGGAUUUAUUGGGCGUAAAGGGAACGCAGGCGGUUUUUUAAGUCUGAUGUGAAAGCCUUCGGCUUAACCGAAGAAUAGCAUUGGAAACUGGAAGACUUGAGUGCAGAAGAGGAGAGUGGAAUUCCAUGUGUAGCGGUGAAAUGCGUAGAUAUAUGGAGGAACACCAGUGGCGAAAGCGGCUCUCUGGUCUGUAACUGACGCUGAGGUUCGAAAGCGUGGGUAGCAAACAGGAUUAGAAACCCUGGUAGUCC
rnacentral:rRNA from 1 species